rnacentral:misc_RNA from 1 species
AAGACUAUAGACCUGCGGAGUACCUGCGGAGGGAUCAUUAUCGAAUCUUCAAAGUCGGCCCAUCCGGUGCUGGUGGUCACACAUGUGCACGUCUGGGUCGCAAAUCCACACACCUGUGCAUACAUGACUCUGAGUGGCCUUCCCCCUUGUUUGGGGAGUCUGAUUUUGGUCAGAUCGGUACUCGAGUAUCUUUCACACACCCUUGAAAAGUAAUGGAAUGUAUAUCAUGCAUACUAUGCA